rnacentral:misc_RNA from 1 species
GUGAAGAACGCAGCAAAAUGCGAUAAGUAAUGUGAAUUGCAGAAUUCAGUGAAUCAUCGAGUCUUUGAACGCACAUUGCGCCCCCUGGUAUUCCGGGGGGCAUGCCUGUCCGAGCGUCAUUGCUGCCCUCAAGCCCGGCUUGUGUGUUGGGUCUCGUCCCCCUUCCCGGGGGGACGGGCCCGAAAGGCAGCGGCGGCACCGCGUCCGGUCCUCGAGCGUAUGGGGCUUUGUCACCCGCUCUGUAGGCCCGGCCGGCGCUUGCCGAUCAACCAAAACUUUUUUCCAGGUUGACCUCGGAUCAGGUAGGGAUACCCGCUGAACUUAAGCAUAUCAAUAAGCGGAGGA